GUGGGGAAUAUUGGACAAUGGGCGCAAGCCUGAUCCAGCAAUGCCGCGUGGGUGAAGAAGGCCUUCGGGUUGUAAACUGCUUUUGUACGGAACGAAACGGUCCGGGUUAAUACCCUGGGCUAAUGACGGUACCGUAAGAAUAAGCACCGGCUAACUACGUGCCAGCAGUCGCGGUAAUACGUAGGGUGCAAGCGUUAAUCGGAAUUACUGGGCGUAAAGCGUGCGCAGGCGGUUUUGUAAGACAGGCGUGAAAUCCCCGGGCUCAACCUGGGAAUUGCGCUUGUGACUACAAGGCUGGAGUGCGGCAGAGGGGGAUGGAAUUCCGCGUGUAGCAGUGAAAUGCGUAGAUAUGCGGAGGAACACCGAUGGCGAAGGCAAUCCCCUGGGCCUGCACUGACGCUCAUGCACGAAAGCGUGGGGAGCAAACAGGAUUAGAUACCCGAGUAGUCC
rnacentral:rRNA from 1 species